GGAAUUUUCGUUGGGCUCAUUGUACAAUGUGAUUGGAUUAACGAUGCUAAUUAGAAACUGCAUUAUCUAUCUGCAACUUCCUUAUUGGAAUUGAAGAUAUCUGUUAACGAAGUCUGAGAUUCUGUCACUUUAAAAUGUCCCUAUUAGAGUUACAGGCGAUUUCACUGGGUGUUGUUACCUAUUAUGCAUCUUUAUGAGAUUUGGUUUGCUAGUUUGAUGAAGAUCUUUAUGAGAUUUGGUUUGCUAGUUUGAUGAAGCAUUACCCAUGUAUUACUACUAUCUUACAGGUUUAAUGAAUGCAGCUAAAGCCCAUACCAUUUCCAGUGGCAUUCAACCUAGAACUCAAUAAUGCACCCAGUUAUUUUCACACAGUUGAGCAUUUCAUUUUACUAGUCGAGCAUAUUGAAUGGUUUGGUAGCGUUCAUUCUUUUUUAAUUUUAUUUUUUUUAAUCAAUCUGUGUGGGAGACUGGGAGUGCUAUAGAAUUUGUGUUAUAUGCUUGAAUCAUAUAAACAUAUGUUUGACUUGUUGCAUAUUGCAUAUACUUGUGUGAUUUGAAAGUUCCUGAUGAAAAAUUCUGUGGGAAAAGAACUAAACUGCUGCUUGCAAUUCCAAUAAAAUUUGAGUGAAAUGAUGUCCAUGGCUGCAUGGUGGAUUCCGGAAAGGCAUGCAAGGUCAAGGUUAUUGUGUAGUAAGCAUCAAGUGGAUGGGAUGUGAUUGGAACACACAACUUCAAUUGGGAUGAAAAUAUUUAUUCAGACUAUGAACUUUCAGCCAACCAAUAUUGGUUGGUCUACCCCAAGUCCUCAAGAUUUGUAAUUCCAUUUUUCCUGCUUUUGGGUUUUCUCUUCUAAAAUUAGUCCCAAUCCAAAUAUCAGCAUCAUCUCUCCAUCCUUUUAUCACCUAUAUUCAUAAACCAUUAGUGGAUUAUGAUUUGGAUUGUUAAUCGUAUAUGGUUUGCUUGAAGAUGAUGGUUUUUGACCUCUGUACAUAUAUUAGAAGGUCGAAUGCCUCAUUUAUUUUCAGAUCCAAUCAUUGGGAAGCAAAUUGAACUGCUCCCUUGGGUGUAUAUACACCCAACUAAUAGAAAACUACUCCCACCAAGAACCACGUAUGAAGUGUGAAAACUCCAUGUAUAGUGCACCUGUUUCUCAUAGAGAAUAUGAGACCAUGGAUAAAUCAAGUCCAUAAAUACAUCCUCAAAUUUCCAUCACUCAUACAAAACGAACUUGCGACUUCUCUAAAGAGCCUCCUUAGUCUAAUAAUCGACGGAGGAAAUUCUUCAUGAAGUUCAUCCCUUUGUAU
rnacentral:misc_RNA from 1 species